GAUGAACGCUGGCGGCGUGCCUAAUACAUGCAAGUCGAGCGAACAGACGAGGAGCUUGCUCCUUCGACGUUAGCGGCGGACGGGUGAGUAACACGUAUGUAACCUACCUAUAAGACUGGGAUAACUUCGGGAAACCGGAGCUAAUACCGGAUAAUAUUUCGAACCGCAUGGUUCGAUAGUGAAAGAUGGCUUUGCUAUCACUUAUAGAUGGACCUGCGCCGUAUUAGCUAGUUGGUAAGGUAACGGCUUAUCAAGGCAACGAUACGUAGCCGACCUGAGAGGGUGAUAGGCCACACGGGAGCUGAGCCAGGGUCAAGAGGACUACGGGAGGCAGCAGUAGGGAAUCUGACGCAAUGGGCGAAAGCAUGACGGAGCAACGCCGAGUGAGUGAUGAAGGUGUUCGGAUCGUAAAACUCUGUUAUUAGGGAAGAACAAACGUGUAAGUAACUGAGCACGGAGUGACGGUAACUAAUCAGAAAGCAACGGCUAACUACGUG
rnacentral:rRNA from 1 species